rnacentral:hammerhead_ribozyme from 1 species
AUCCAGCUAACGAGUCUCAAAUAAGACGAAACGCGCACCCUGGAU